rnacentral:lncRNA from 1 species
GGUUUUCAAAACCUUGCUUACCAGAUUGUAGAUUUAGUUCUCAUUAGCCUGUUUUGGAGUUUCCUCCAGUGGUUUCCGAUUCAAGCCUCCGAUAGUGCAUCUCCAAGAAUUUGUACUUGGAUAAUUAUAGCAUAAGUAGGUCUCUAUCCCUUUUCAAAUAAUAAUUUCGAUUACCUCUGUUCAUCAAUGUUAGCUACUUGGUUAAAGUUAUUAGUACUCUCUCUCUCUCAAAUAAAUGUGAUGCCUUUAUUAAGGGUAAAAAGGACUUAAGCACCACAAAGUUCAGAAUGGUGAGUAGCAAUCUUGUAGUUUCUUAUCAGCUCAAGGGAAAAAAUGGUUUUCAUGAGGUAUGGAAGCUAAAUAUGAAACCUACAUAGGAAGUGG